rnacentral:rRNA from 1 species
UACGGAGGGUGCGAGCGUUAAUCGGAAUUACUGGGCGUAAAGGGUGCGUAGGUUGUUUGAUAAGUUAUCUGUGAAAUUCCUGGGCUCAACCUGGGCAGGUCAGAUAAUACUGUUGAACUGGAGUAUGGGAGAGGGUAGUGGAAUUUCCGGUGUAGCGGUGAAAUGCGUAGAGAUCGGAAGGAACACCAGUGGCGAAGGCGGCUACCUGGCCUAAUACUGACACUGAGGCACGAAAGCGUGGGGAGCAAACAGG